GAUGAACGCUAGCUACAGGCUUAACACAUGCAAGUCGAGGGGAAACGGCAUCGAAAGCUUGCUUUUGAUGGGCGUCGACCGGCGCACGGGUGAGUAACGCGUAUCCAACCUGCCCAUCACUUGGGAAUAACCUUGCGAAAGUAAGACUAAUGCCCAAUGACAUCCCACGAAGGCAUCCGAAUGGGAUUAAAGAUUUAUCGGUGAUGGAUGGGGAUGCGUCUGAUUAGCUUGUUGGCGGGGUGACGGCCCACCAAGGCAACGAUCAGUAGGGGUUCUGAGAGGAAGGUCCCCCACAUUGGAACUGAGACACGGUCCAAACUCCUACGGGAGGCAGCAGUGAGGAAUAUUGGUCAAUGGGCGAGAGCCUGAACCAGCCAAGUAGCGUGCAGGAUGACGGCCCUAUGGGUUGUAAACUGCUUUUAUAAGGGAAUAAAGUGGGUCACGUGUGACUUUUUGCAUGUACCUUAUGAAUAAGGACCGGCUAAUUCCAUG
rnacentral:rRNA from 1 species